GGGCUGGAGAGAUGGCUCAGCCGUUAAA
rnacentral:piRNA from 2 species